GAUGAACGCUGGCGGCGUGCCUAAUACAUGCAAGUCGAGCGAACAGACGAGGAGCUUGCUCCUCUGACGUUAGCGGCGGACGGGUGAGUAACACGUGGAUAACCUACCUAUAAGACUGGGAUAACUUCGGAAAACCGGAGCUAAUACCGGAUAAUAUAUUGAACCGCAUGGUUCAAUAGUGAAAGACGGUUUUGCUGUCACUUAUAGAUGGAUCCGCGCCGCAUUAGCUAGUUGGUAAGGUAACGGCUUACCAAGGCAACGAUGCGUAGCCGACCUGAGAGGGUGAUCGGCCACACUGGAACUGAGACACGGUCCAGACUCCUACGGGAGGCAGCAGUAGGGAAUCUUCCGCAAUGGGCGGAAGCCUGACGGAGCAACGCCGCGUGAGUGAUGAAGGUCUUCGGAUCGUAAAACUCUGUUAUUAGGGAAGAACAAAUGUGUAAGUAACUAUGCACGUCUUGACGGUACCUAAUCAGAAAGCCACGGCUAACUACGUG
rnacentral:rRNA from 1 species